UCCACAAACGCGUCUACGACCGCACCUACAUAUUUUUGCAUGUUUACAAUUCUAAUUUUAAAUAGCCAGUCCGGCUCUUGGUGACAAUUACAAUUAAACGUCGAUUGGCUGUUUAAAAUUAGAAUUGCAAACAUGCAAAAAUAUGUAGGUGCGGUCUUAGACGUUUGUGGG
rnacentral:miRNA from 1 species